GGACUACAGGGGUAUCUAAUCCUGUUUGCUCCCCUAGCUUUCGUCCCUCAGCGUCAGUUGUGAUCCAGCGAGCCGCUUUCGCCUCGGAUGUUCCUACGGAUAUCUACGCAUUUCACCGCUACACCCGUAAUUCCACUCGCCUCUCUCACACUCUAGCACAACAGUUUCGGCAGCAGCCUCCGAGUUAAGCCCGGAGAUUUCACUACCGACUUGUCACACCGCCUACGGACCCUUUACGCCCAGUAAUUCCGAGCAACGCUGGCCCCCUACGUUUUACCGCGGCUGCUGGCAC
rnacentral:rRNA from 1 species